rnacentral:rRNA from 1 species
GAUGAACGCUGGCGGCGUGCCUAAUACAUGCAAGUCGAGCGAACAGACGAGGAGCUUGCUCCUCUGACGUUAGCGGCGGACGGGUGAGUAACACGUGGAUAACCUACCUAUAAGACUGGGAUAACUUCGGGAAACCGGAGCUAAUACCGGAUAAUAUAUUGAACCGCAUGGUUCAAUAGUGAAAGACGGUUUUGCUGUCACUUAUAGAUGGAUCCGCGCCGCAUUAGCUAGUUGGUAAGGUAACGGCUUACCAAGGCAACGAUGCGUAGCCGACCUGAGAGGGUGAUCGGCCACACUGGAACUGAGACACGGUCCAGACUCCUACGGGAGGCAGCAGUAGGGAAUCUUCCGCAAUGGGCGAAAGCCUGACGGAGCAACGCCGCGUGAGUGAAGAAGGUCUUCGGAUCGUAAAACUCUGUUAUUAGGGAAGAACAAAUGUGUAAGUAACUAUGCACGUCUUGACGGUACCUAAUCAGAAAGCCACGGCUAACUACGU